AACCAUUCUCACCUGCGGCUAGACCUGCGGAAGGAUCAUUAAACAACUAGGCCGUAACAAGCCUUGAACCCUUCUCUACGCGCACCUUUACCUUCUCCUUCGGCGGGUCAGCGCCCGCCGUCGGAACCAACAAACCCCCUUUUGCAUCUAGCAUACCACCCGUUCCGAUACAAAACACAAUCGUUACAACUUUUAGCAACGGAUCU
rnacentral:misc_RNA from 1 species